UUGAUUUAUUUAAUCAUUUACUCAGAAGAUACUGUAUAAAAUCAAGGGUUUGGGUCCUCUGGCGGGCCGCCGGAGCGGGCACCGCCGAGGCAACGAUAGGUAUGUUCACAGGGGUUUGGGAGUUGUAAACUCGGUAAUGAUCCCUCCGCUGGUUCACCAACGGAGA
rnacentral:misc_RNA from 1 species